rnacentral:rRNA from 1 species
UAGGGAAUUUUCGUCAAUGGGCGCAAGCCUGAACGAGCAAUGCCGCGUGAACGAGGAAGGUCUUCGGAUCGUAAAGUUCUGUUGAAGGGGGAAAAAGAAGCGGAGAGAGGAAA